rnacentral:rRNA from 2 species
GAUAAGUGCUGAAAGCAUCUAAGCACGAAACUUGCCCCGAGAUGAGUUCUCCCUGACCCUUUAAGGGUCCUGAAGGAACGUUGAAGACGACGACGUUGAUAGGCCGGGUGUGUAAGCGCAGCGAUGCGUUGAGCUAACCGGUACUAAUGAACCGUGAGGCUUAACCUU